AUUAUCCGAUCUAUGCAGUUGGUAUUUCUGAAAAGUUGGUGGGGAAGGAUGGAGCUUCCGCGUCUCAAAAAUCGACUAUAUGCGUUGCAGGGGGCAGUGAAGGAGGUUUUAUUGGUGUUCCAAUUUCCCUUUAUGAUUUUUAAUAUUAGUUUCUAUUUUAAUAUUCAAAAA
rnacentral:ribozyme from 1 species